GAUGCAUGCAAGCGAAAGCUCCUUCAAAGAACACAUCUUCCUCAAAAGAUUGGAGGAUUGUAUAACAGAACCUCUAAAAAAAGCUUUAAAAGGGAUCCAGAGGAGAGUAAUGGGUGGUAAACCAGAUUUAUUGGUGACAAUAUAGAGCAAAAAGACCCUCAAUAGGGUCCUACACUUCAGCAUUCCACAGGAGACCAUUGUUCAUACUCCACAUUGAG